UACGUAGGGGGCAAGCGUUGUCCGGAUUUAUUGGGCGUAAAGCGCGUGUAGGCGGCUAAGUAAGUCGGGCGUGAAAUCCCACGGCUCAACCGUGGAAGUGCACUCGAAACUGCAUAGCUAGAGUCCUGGAGAGGAAGGUGGAAUGCUUGGUGUAGAGGUGAAAUUCGUAGAUAUCAAGCGGAACACCGGUGGCGAAGGCGGCCUUCUGGACAGUGACUGACGCUGAGACGCGAAAGCCAGGGGAGCAAACGGG
rnacentral:rRNA from 1 species